rnacentral:lncRNA from 1 species
AGCACCGUUUGGCUCUUCAAGACUUGCUUCUUUACCAUUUCAUUCCUAAAACCCUAUUCUUCUUCGCUCAUUCAUCAGCACUGCCAUCGGCCCCAACCUCCCCACAGUGAGUGUUACUUCAAAAUCUAUCAAUUUCCCAACUUUUCAUUCUCUUGGACGACCCAAUUGGAUAAAGAUUUGAUUUUUGUUUUUGUUUUACUCAUUUCUUCGUCCCAUUUCAUUUGGGUGUUUCAGAGGUCACAGGGACUAAAGAGGUGUACCACCAUGUCGGACGAUGAAAGAGUGGAUCGUUUGAUACAGGCUACGGAGGUUUGGAUGACGCCACUUCCGGUGAAGGAAGAUAAGUCAGGGUAGACGUCACUUCCAGU